rnacentral:tRNA from 1 species
GGCGCGUUCGUCUAGUGGCCUAGGACGCCGCCCUUUCAAGGCGGAGAUCAGGGGUUCGAACCCCCUACGCGCUACCA